GGCAAACUAGCCAUUGAUCAAUGCCUAAUUGUCCUACAGUGCCAUUUACAUUUUCUUUAGUGGAGAUCAAUAUAGAGAGAUCGUCACAUGGACUCAUCUGGAUGAGCUUUGAAAUAAAGUGUAGCUGGAGUGCCUACUGUACUCUACCGUGUGUCCUGGGCUGUCCAGCUGCUCUAAUCCUCCUGCAGACCUGCCCCAUUUUGUCUCACAAACUGGGUGCCUGUUUCUUUCAUGGGCUUCACUGGACAUUUGCAUCAACUUCCAAAUGCAUUUACUGGAUUUACUGUUCUGGAAAAUAUAUUUGUAUACUGUAUGACAAUGGAACUGAGAGGAAGCAACCCUGUAUCUACCGGGGGGGAAAAAAAGAGAAAAAAAAGGUUGCGAAGGGGCAUUGACAAGGCAAAUGAAGGACCUUAUGUAUGAAACAGGAAUAACUCUCGCACUUUCCUUUUUUCUUCUUUUUGCACUUCCUCAACAAGAACAAAGUGUACUAUACUCUCUCAAGGAGAAAAAUUUCUGAAGAAGCAUUGAGAACUAUUCCAGUGCUGCAGAACCAGCAACAGCAUGAUGUGGACAUUUUUUUUUUUUCCUUCAGAAGUUGAGUUUGUUCUUUUAAACUAUCUGAAGAACUCAGUGUCAUUUGAGUAAAAUCAUCCAAGAAGACCUGGAAGUCCUUCUCGUCUGGACUGUGGUUGUUGUACUGUCCGCUCUAACAACACAGACCAGACCAUAGGUCAUGGGUCACUCUUGCACUAGAGAUCUCCAGUGUUCCUGCAGAGCCCAAAGGCAACUGCCAACACAGUUCCACUCUCUCAAGCAAAAGUGCUCAAGAAGCUUCAGAAUGUGGAGGAAGAAACAAGCCCAAAUAGCCAAGGAAUUACUAAAUGUUAAGGGCGAACCUCUAACAAAAAUUUACUUAGAGGGAACCAAUGGAAAGUGCAUGGAAAAAUCAGGAAGUUGCACAACUGGUUAGUAUUACUUUUGCAGACAGAAAGAGGCUAGAGAGGGGGGUUAAUUAUCAGCUGAAUCAAGCCUCCUGAGGAAGUAGGAGCUCAGUUAAAAACAAGGCUGAAGUCUCUGUGGUUAAAGCUGACAUUCAACGUGUGCUGCCCUUGUGCCUGUUCAAGGCCUUAUUCUCUAUGGGUACCCUGCUGGAACACCUUGCAGAGGAGACUUUGUGUGCAUAAGUAUGAGAGAUUUUAGAGUGAAUGAAAAUGCAC
ensembl:lncRNA